UACCAAUUGUUAAAUCAACAAUGGGAGUCACUGGGUACAGGCUCCCCACGUAGGAUCUCUGUCCUUAAUGUGUUUUACUAUGAAACUUAAAAACAACACUACUAGUCGAACAAUGCCCUAUGCCUUGUGUGGUUGUGUGAGUGCAGCCUGUUGAAAUCCCUGCUUAGUAUAUACUAAGUUGAUCUUUAGUAUGUGAAGCCCCACACGCCUCAAAGGCAUGAAAUGCAUCUCGCUUCUUGUAUACACAACAGGCCUUUUAAUAGGAGAGCCUGGACUCGCAGUUGGAGAUAUUUUUCCUGUCGGGCCAAAGACCUUGUACAGUUUAUUAUACCAGUGAACUUAAUUAUUACCAGACCACAGAGGCCAUGGUCAAAGACUACCUCAAUGAAAGGAAGACUAUCUCGAUGACAGUAACAAACUCCAUUUCCUGUGACAGCAUUGAUAAUUUGUAGUGAAUAAAAUCAAAGUCUUCCUUUAAAAACAAGUAUAAUUCCCUAAUAUUAAUUCUAUAUAGUUUGGGGCUAUAACUUCUGCUCUUGG